AGAGUUUGAUCCUGGCUCAGGAUGAACGCUGGCGGCGUGCCUAACACAUGCAAGUCGAACGAGCUGACCACCUCCGGGUGUGACGCGAGUGGCGGACGGGUGAGUAACGCGUGGGUAACCUGCCCUGUACAGGGGGAUAACAGUUGGAAACGACUGCUAAUACCGCAUAAGCGCACGAGAGGACAUCCUUUUGUGUGAAAAACUCCGGUGGUACAGGAUGGGCCCGCGUCUGAUUAGAUAGUUGGCGGGGUAACGGCCCACCAAGUCGACGAUCAGUAGCCGGUCUGAGAGGAUGAACGGCCACAUUGGAACUGAGACACGGUCCAAACUCCUACGGGAGGCAGCAGUGGGGAAUAUUGCACAAUGGGGGAAACCCUGAUGCAGCAACGCCGCGUGAGUGAAGAAGUAUUUCGGUAUGUAAAGCUCUAUCAGCAGGGAAGAUAAUGACGGUACCUGACUAAGAAGCUCCGGCUAAAUACGUGCCAGCAGCCGCGGUAAUACGUAUGGAGCAAGCGUUAUCCGGAUUUACUGGGUGUAAAGGGUGCGUAGGCGGCAUGGCUAGUCAGAUGUGAAAGACCGGGGCUCAACUCCGGCGCUGCAUUUGAAACUGCCAGGCUUGAGUACAGGAGAGGCAGGCGGAAUUCCUAGUGUAGCGGUGAAAUGCGUAGAUAUUAGGAAGAACACCGGUGGCGAAGGCGGCCUGCUGGACGACAACUGACGCUGAGGCGCGAAAGCGUGGGGAGCAAACAGGAUUAGAUACCCUGGUAGUCCACGCUGUAAACGAUGAAUACUAGGUGUGGGGAGGACUGACCCUUUCCGUGCCGCAGUUAACACAAUAAGUAUUCCACCUGGGGAGUACGAUCGCAAGAUUGAAACUCAAAGGAAUUGACGG
rnacentral:rRNA from 1 species